rnacentral:rRNA from 1 species
UUGACCUCGGAUCAGGUAGGAAUACCCGCUGAACUUAAGCAUAUCAAUAAGCGGAGGAAAAGAAACCAACAGGGAUUGCCUCAGUAACGGCGAGUGAAGCGGCAACAGCUCAAAUUUGAAAUCUGGCCUUUACGGUCCGAGUUGUAAUUUGUAGAGGAUGUUUUGGGCACCGCCCCGGGUUAAAUUUCUUGGAACAGAAUGUCAAAGAGGGUGAGAGUCCCGUCUUGGCCCGCGGUAGGACCUAUGUAAAACUCCUUCGACGAGUCGACUUGUUUGGGAAUGCAGGUCUAAAUGGGUGGUAAAUUUCAUCUAAAGCUAAAUAUUGGCCAGAGACCGAUAGCGCACAAGUAGAGUGAUCGAAAGAUGAAAAGCACUUUGAAAAGAGAGUUAAACAGUAUGUGAAAUUGUUGAAAGGGAAGCGCUGGCAACCAGACUCGAGCGCGGUGUUCCCCUUGGCUUCUGCCUUGGUUAUUUCACCGUGACCGGGCCAUCAUCAGUUUUGGGGGUUGGUUAAAGAUCUGGGGAAUGUAUCCUCUCUUUCGGGGGAGGACUUAUAGCCCUGGAUGUCAUGCAGCCUCCCGGGACUGAGGAACGCGCUUCGGCGAGGAUGAUGGCGUAAUGGUUGUCAGCGACCCGUCUUGAAACACGGACCAAGGAGUCUAACAUCUAUGCGAGUGUUCGGGUGUCAAACCCCUGCGCGGAAUGAAAGUGAACGGAGGUAGGAAGGCCUGUGCCUGCACUAUCGACCGAUCCUGAUGUCUUCGGAUGGAUUUGAGUAAGAGCAUAGCUGUUGGGACCCGAAAGAUGGUGAACUAUGCGUGAAUAGGGUGAAGCCAGAGGAAACUCUGGUGGAGGCUCGCAGCGGUUCUGACGUGCAAAUCGAUCGUCAAAUUUGCGUAUAGGGGCGAAAGACUAAUCGAACCAUCUGGUAGCUGGUUCCUGCCGAAGUUUCCCUCAGGAUAGCAGUAACGUUUUCAGUUUUAUGAGGUAAAGCGAAUGAUUAGAGGCCUUGGGGUUGAAACAACCUUAACCUAUUCUCAAACUUUAAAUAUGUAAGAAGUCCUUGUUACUUAGUUGAACGUGGACAUUUGAAUGUAUCGUUACUAGUGGGCCAUUUUUGGUAAGCAGAACUGGCGAUGCGGGAUGAACCGAACGCGAGGUUAAGGUGCCGGAAUGCACGCUCAUCAGACACCACAAAAGGUGUCAAUGCAUCUAGACAGCCGGACGGUGGCCAUGGAAGUCGGAAUCCGCUUAGGAGUGUGUAACAACUCACCGGCCGAAUGCAUUGGCCCUGAAAAUGGAUGGCGCUUAAGCGUGCUACCCAUACCUCGCCGUCAGGGUUGACAUGAUGCCCUGACGAGUAGGCAGGCGUGGAGGUCCGUGACGAAGCCUUGGGGGUGACCCCGGGUCGAACGGCCUCUAGUGCAGAUCUUG